CGGCGAGUGAAGAGGAAAGAGCUCAAAGUUGGAACCUGUUUGGCUUAGCUAAACCGGAUUGUAAACUGCAGAAGUGUUUUCCAGACACGCCUGGUAAAAAAGUCCUUUGGAACAGGGCAUCAUAGAGGGUGAGAAUCCCGUCUUUGGCCAGAGCUGUUGUCUUUUGUGAUACAUUUUCAAAGAGUCAGGUUGUUUGGGAAUGCAGCCUAAAUUGGGUGGUAAAUCUCACCUAAAGCUAAAUAUUUGCGAGAGACCGAUAGCGAACAAGUACCGUGAGGGAAAGAUGAAAAGAACUUUGAAAAGAGAGUUAAACAGUAUGUGAAAUUGUUAAAAGGGAACCGUUUGGAGCCAGACUGGCUUGACUGUAAUCAAUCUAGGCUUCGGCCUGGAUGCACUUGCGGUUUAUGCCUGCCAACGACAAUUUUUUUUGAGGGAAAAAACUAUUAGGAAUGUGGCCCCCCUCGGGGGGUGUUAUAGCCUUUUAGAAAAUACCUUGAAUUGGAUUGAGGAACGCAGUGAAUGCCUUUAGGCAAGAUUGCUGGGCGCUUUCGCUAAUAAAUGCUAGAAUUUCUGCUUCGGGUGGUGCUAGUGUUUAAAGGAGAAACUCGUCUGGUAUA
rnacentral:rRNA from 1 species